UCCAGGGUAGCCUAGUGGACAUGGCACCUGCCCGGUAAGCAGAAGGUUGUGGGUUCGAUUCCCGCCCCUGGAU